rnacentral:rRNA from 1 species
ACGGGUGAGUAACGCGUAGGCAACCUGCCCUUCACAGAGGUAUAGCCUCGGGAAACCGGGAUUAAAACCACAUAAAAUCAUAGGUUCGCAUGAACCAAAGGUCAAAGAUUUAUCGGUGAAGGAUGGGCCUGCGUCUGAUUAGCGGGUUGGUAGGGUAAAAGCCUACCAAGGCGACGAUCAGUAGCCGACCUGAGAGGGUGAUCGGCCACAUUGGAACUGAGACACGGUCCAAACUCCUACGGGAGGCAGCAGUGGGGGAUAUUGCACAAUGGGGGAAACCCUGAUGCAGCAACGCCGCGUGAGGUAUGAAGGCCUUUGGGUUGUAAGCCUCUGUCCUAGGGGAAGAAAAAAAUGACGGUACCCGAGGAGGAAGCCCCGGCUAACUACGUGCCAGCAGCCGCGGUAAUACGUAGGGUGCGAGCGUUAAUCGGAAUUACUGGGCGUAAAGCGGGCGCAGACGGUUACUUAAGCAGGAUGUGAAAUCCCCGGGCUCAACCUGGGAACUGCGUUCUGAACUGGGUGACUAGAGUGUGUCAGAGGGAGGUAGAAUUCCACGUGUAGCAGUGAAAUGCGUAGAGAUGUGGAGGAAUACCGAUGGCGAAAGGCAGCCUCCUGGGAUAACACUGACGUUCAUGCCCGAAAGCGUGGGUAGCAAACAGGAUUAGAUACCCUGGUAGUCCACGCCCUAAAC